rnacentral:tRNA from 1 species
GAGACGUUAGUAAACCAUAUUACAUAGCCUUGUCAAGUCUAAAUCACAGGUGAAAAUCCUGUACGUCUCA